UGCUGAGGUUGGCAGAGUCCUCUGAGUUCCUCUAACUUAAUCCCUGCCCAAGCAGGGACACCCAGAGCAGGGUGCCCAGGACAAAGUUCAGGCAGUUUUUGAAGUUCUUCAAGAAGGAGAUUCCACAGCCUCUCUGGGUAAUCUGUGCCAGUGCUCUAUCACCUGCAUAGACAGGGCCGGAUGUGGAGAAGGAAUCUUACAGUUCAUAAACAAGAUCAUAAAAGAACAACUUGCUUUGUUACCACUUCUACUGAGGCUGUGAAACACGAGUUACUGCAAAUACUACACUGCAGCUUGUGUCCAUGAGGCUCAGGAGAAUGAGAUGCUGUGCUGCAAACAACUCAGAAGCAGGAAAGGAGAAGAAGGAGGGGAGAAAAUGAGCUGCCUCAGUAAUAUACCUCCUCUGACAAAGCUGAAAGUGCCUGGCUAUUUCUCAGCAAAUGAAAAAAAGUCUAAAGGAAUGAGGACUUGUGUGGCCUCCCCCAACCAAAAAAAUAAAAAAAGAGGAAAUUAGGUCAUAAGAAUGGCUGAAUCAAAUGACCAUGAGACAGCUGUGUCCAAAUUUCUAUGUGGUAUUUAUAUAGUGAAUACAAAUGAGAAAUCUGAUUUGAAGGUGUGGAGAGCUCUGCUCCACUUAUGCAUGAAAGUCUCUUAUGAAAGUGUAUGCAAAAUUCAGAUGUGUGCCACUGGUUUUGGAGCUACAGAACAUGCAAUUUCCACCCCCGUGAUAAAUAUUCAUACCACUUAAUUGCACACAGAUAAUGACAUCUCCAAGUAUUGCUGCAGCAUCAUGUCUGCUUUCAUUUCUUAGUUGUUUCCUCAGAGGAUCAGUUCUGCUCUGCUUAGGACCAGAACCUGAGAGCAUUCCCAUGGGGUUGUGCUGACAACACAGACAGUGGGGUAGUCACAAGUCUCUGGAAUAAGCUUUGCAUUAAGGUUCUUUAUCCUACAAAACAACCAAAAAGCAGUUGAGGUAGUACAGAGUUCACAGAGGCUAGUUUAUCAGGCUCCUAAGCAGACUAGCCAUGCAUCUAUAGCCUGUUUGUAUGACUCUAUCCACAAGUGCAGACUUAGCUUGCAAGGUCACAGAGAAUUCAGAAGUACAGGAACAGCAAAAGAGUAUGAAAAUUACAAAUAUAUUGUCAUGCUUAACAGGUUACAGUUGCUUUCAAACAGAAGGUAUCUCAAAGUUACCCACACCUUUUGCAAAUAAGCUCUUAAGGUGAAGUUUCAUUCAUUUCCAGUGAGGCUAGGGAGAGUAGACCAGUGUAACACUAGUGUGUGCAGGAGGGUCUUUCUAGGGCCUCACAGAUUUUAUCUAUAUUGGCAAGUAAUUCUGUGCAAUAGGAAGAGAUCAAUAAAUCAAAGCUUCCCCUUGUUCCUAGUUUAAUACAUUGCAAACCAAAUCCAAGUACAAGAAAGGAGCAACCAGGAGAUCUGUGCAGCAAUACAUUGCUGUUCCAAGCCAAGCUGUUGAUAUCAGCAUGGCCACACUUACUCUUACAGAGGACCUUAGAAAAUUAGAUCUUCAAAGUUUUACCUUAAAGGAGAUGAUAUGGAAAAGUCAUUCUUACCACUGACAAACCUAAACAUAAAACUCUGCUUUUCCACACAUCUUUCCCUUGCAGGUUUCAGUUCUGUCAGAGCACACAGCAUGUCAGACAAUUUUUGUUGUUAUUGUUGUUAAUCAUAUAAUACAGUCAGCUUUGUGGCAGGUAAAUGAAAUUUAGGCAUCUUUCUAUCUCCCCGUCAGUAUUUGGCCAUAAGAUUCUACAUUAAAUUGUUCUUUGCUCCAAAGCUCGCCCAGAGCAACAGCACUCCAAGACUUCACUCAGCUCUUUGUUUUACAGCAGUUACAAUCAAACUGUUGUUCUUCGUGCUUUAAUGGAGAUCCUAGAAAAGGAGAUUUGAAAAAGAGGGUUAAGAACAGGUUUAUAAAACUUAAGUAUGUACCUAAUCUGUCUGGGAAAAUUCAUAAUUCACUUUGCACAUUUUUGAAGCUGUCUCCAGCCUUAAUAUCACAACAUCAUGCAAAGUCUGGAAGUAUGUGAUUAAUAGAUUUACCUAAUUAAAAACAAGCAAACAAAACAACAAACAAAAGUAAGUUUAUGUCUAAAACUGUCUGUUGGUGUGCCAAAUAUAUGCACAAAUAUAUACUGUAUUUUGUGUGUAUUUGUACAUUUAUAUGAAAACACACAUACAUAUAUAGAACUAUGUGUACAAUAAUUAAUAAAGC
ensembl:lncRNA